UACAGAGGGGGGCGAGCGUUGUUCGGAAUUACUGGGCGUAAAGGGCGCGUAGGCGGCCUUCUAAGUCGAACGUGAAAUCCCCGGGCUCAACCCGGGAACUGCGUCCGAUACUGGAAGGCUUGAAUCCGGGAGAGGGAUGCGGAAUUCCAGGUGUAGCGGUGAAAUGCGUAGAUAUCUGGAGGAACACCGGUGGCGAAGGCGGCAUCCUGGACCGGCAUUGACGCUGAGGCGCGAAAGCCAGGGGAGCAAAGCGGGAU
rnacentral:rRNA from 1 species